rnacentral:rRNA from 1 species
GUCGAGUCGGCCUGCGCGGAAGAUGUAACGGGGCUAAACCAUGCACCGAAGCUGCGGCAGCGACGCUUAUGCGUUGUUGGGUAGGGGAGCGUUCUGUAAGCCUGCGAAGGUGGCCUGUGAGGGCUGCUGGAGGUAUCAGAAGUGCGAAUGCUGACAUAAGUAACGAUAAAGCGGGUGAAAAGCCCGCUCGCCGGAAGACCAAGGGUUCCUGUCCAACGUUAAUCGGGGCAGGGUGAGUCGACCCCUAAGGCGAGGCCGAAAGGCGUAGUCGAUGGGAAACAGGUUAAUAUUCCUGUACUUGGUGUUACUGCGAAGGGGGGACGGAGAAGGCUAUGUUAGCCGGGCGACGGUUGUCCCGGUUUAAGCAUGUAGGCGGAGGUUCCAGGUAAAUCCGGUACCUUUUAACGCUGAGGUGUGAUGACGAGGCACUACGGUGCUGAAGUAACAAAUGCCCUGCUUCCAGGAAAAGC